rnacentral:rRNA from 1 species
AGCGAACGCUGGCGGCAGGCUUAACACAUGCAAGUCGAGCGCCGUAGCAAUACGGAGCGGCAGACGGGUGAGUAACACGUGGGAACGUACCUUUUGGUUCGGAACAACACAGGGAAACUUGUGCUAAUACCGGAUAAGCCCUUACGGGGAAAGAUUUAUCGCCGAAAGAUCGGCCCGCGUCUGAUUAGCUAGUUGGUGAGGUAACGGCUCACCAAGGCGACGAUCAGUAGCUGGUCGAGAGGAUGAUCAGCCACACUGGGACUGAGACACGGCCCAGACUCCUACGGGAGGCAGCAGUGGGGAAUAUUGGACAAUGGGCGCAAGCCUGAUCCAGCCAUGCCGCGUGAGUGAUGAAGGCCCUAGGGUUGUAAAGCUCUUUUGUGCGGGAAGAUAAUGACUGUACCGCAAGAAUAAGCCCCGGCUAACUUCGUGCCAGCCGCCGCGGUAAG